GACGAACGCUGGCGGCGUGCUUAACACAUGCAAGUCGAGCGGUAAGGCUCCUUCGGGAGUACACGAGCGGCGAACGGGUGAGUAACACGUGAGCAACCUGCCCUUCUCAUCGGAAUAAGCGUUGGAAACGACGUCUAAUGCCGAAUAUGACUUCCUUUCGCAUGUUUGGAAGUGGAAAGCUCCGGCGGAGAAGGAUGGGCUCGCGGCCUAUCAGCUAGUUGGUGUGGGUAAUGGCCCACCAAGGCGACGACGGGUAGCCGGCCUGAGAGGGUGACCGGCCACACUGGGACUGAGACACGGCCCAGACUCCUACGGGAGGCAGCAGUGGGGAAUAUUGGACAAUGGGCGAAAGCCUGAUCCAGCAACGCCGCGUGAGGGAUGACGGCCUUCGGGUUGUAAACCUCUUUCAGCGGGGACGAAGCGAAAGUGACGGUACCCGCAGAAGAAGGACCGGCCAACUACGUGCCAGCCGCCGCGGUAAAAC
rnacentral:rRNA from 1 species